rnacentral:rRNA from 1 species
CCUACGGGCGGCAGCAGUGGGGAAUAUUGCACAAUGGGGGAAACCCUGAUGCAGCGACGCCGCGUGAGUGAAGAAGGUUUUCGGUUUGUAAAGCUCUAUCGGCAGAGAAGAAAAUGAUGGUACCUGAUUAAGAAGCACCGGCUAACUCCGUGCCAGCAGCCGCGGUAAUACGUAGGGGGCAAGCGUUAUCCGGAUUUACUGGGCGUAAAGGGAGCGUAGACGGCAGAACAAGUCUGAAGUGAAAUGCCGGGGCUUAACCACAGAACUGCUUUGGAAACUGUGAAGCUAGAGUGCAGGAGAGGUAGGUGGAAUUCUUGGUGUAGCGGUGAAAUGCGUAGAUAUUAAGAGGAACACCAGUGGCGAAGGCGGCUUACUGGAAUGUAACUGACGUUGAGGCUCGAAAGCGUGGGGAGCAAACAGGAUUAGAUACCCUGGUAGUC